rnacentral:pre_miRNA from 1 species
UACGUACUCCCUCCGUUCGGAAUUACUUGUCUCGGAAAUGAAUGUAUCUAAAACUAAAAUACAUCUAGAUACAUCCAUUUUGACGACAAGUAAUUCCGAACGGAGGGAGUACUAG